UAGCUCAGUCGGUAGAGCAUCAGACUUUUAAUCUGAGGGUCGUGGGUUCGAGUCCCACGGGGGGCG
rnacentral:tRNA from 1 species